UUUAGCUCAGUUGGUAGAGUGCUUGCCUCACAUGCACAAGGCCCUGGGUUCAAUCCCCAGAA
rnacentral:tRNA from 1 species